CUAAUGCCGUUUGGCCAUCGCCCAUCCAUAUAUUUAUAUAACAUAUUCUUAUUCAUUCCCUUACACUUGUGUGCAUAAGGUAGUUAUUGUGAAAUUGUUGGAUUACUUGUUAGAUAUUACUGCACGGUCGGAACUAGAAGCACAAGCCACUAACCGUCUCUGUCUCUCUCUGUCUCUCUCUCUCUCUCUCUCUCUCUCUCUCUCUCAUAGGGCAUCAGGGGAUUCACAGGGCUGAAGGGUGAUGUCGGCCUGCCAGGUGAACGCGGUGAUGAUAACGACCAGCCAGGUCGGGAGGACUCCAGGGGCCAAAAGGAUACCCUGGUCUCACAGGAGAGAAUGGAUCACCAGGCCCAGUGGGCCAUCCGGGGGCAGACGAAUGUGAGAUCCUGGAGGUCAUUCAGAAACUCUGCUGUAAGUAUAUCGAGUGCUCAAAAUUCAGUCAUACUGGUUAUUUUCCAGAUGAACAUUGUGCUGUGCCGAACAUGUUCCUUUAGUGAAACAUAAGUUUACUCAUAGAUUUAGAAGAUGUAUCAGUGAGCCUGAACACAGUCCCAACCUCUACUGUUAGAAAUGUACCCUGCACUAGUCAUCUAAACAUGUCUCCAUUAAAGCUGACUAAUACACAGUUUAUCUUCCUAGCUAAACAGUUCAUUUGAAGCAUAAUUUAUACUGGGUUGAGUUUGGGACAAACCUACCUACAACACGACCUACAUCACACAAUUAGCCAAAUAGUACAUUUUCUGCUCAAAACAACAUUUUGUUCAUUAAAUACCAACUCUCCAUUUCAAAAUGCAAAAAGAGAUUCUCUACUGUACAAACACUAACUCUAUCAAAGCACGGCAAACCCGACUCAAUACAGUAUCUCAUCAUUCUGUCAAAACACAUGUUUUCUAUCCAAGAGGAACGUAUAGUCAAUCAUAACACAAUGACUUUCAAACUACUAACAGUUAAUGGCAUUACAAAAACUGCAUUACUUUUCAUGUUUCAGUUCUACCUGCAUACAUUAGACAAUAUGAAAUCCAUAGUUUUUAUAAUUCAGUUUCCUCUUAUUGUAAACCACUCUACAUGUUUUGGUUGAGUGUCGAUUGUGUGCCUUUUUGGCAACAUACUAUCUAAAAGUGAAUGAGUGAUCUUUACUUCAUAGAAUGUAAAGUAGAAACAAAGUAAGUGACAGAAUUGCUGCAGUAAAAGCUUUAUUAGCAACAAGAAAUUACUGCCAGUGAUCAACAACACAUCCAACAUACAUGGCCUUUGGUUCAACAACACAUCCAACAUACAUGGCCUUUGGUU